rnacentral:rRNA from 1 species
UACAGAGGUCCCGAGCGUUGUUCGGAUUCACUGGGCGUAAAGGGUGCGCAGGUGGGUUGGCAAGUUUGAUGUGAAAGCCCCGGGCUUAACCCGGGAAUGGCAUUGAAUACUGCUGAUCUGGAGGAUCGGAGGGGGGACUGGAAUUCUUGGUGUAGCAGUGAAAUGCGUAGAUAUCAAGAGGAACACCAGUGGCGAAGGCGGAUCUCUGGGCCAUUACUGACGCUGGAGGAGCGAAAGCGUGGGGAGCGAACAGG